rnacentral:rRNA from 1 species
UACGAAGGGGGGCUAGCGUUGCUCGGAAUCACUGGGCGUAAAGGGCGCGUAGGCGGCCAUUCAAGUCGGGGGUGAAAGCCCGUGGCUCAACCACAGAAUUGCCUUCGAUACUGUUUGGCUUGAGUUUGGUAGAGGUUGGUGGAACUGCGAGUGUAGAGGUGAAAUUCGUAGAUAUUCGCAAGAACACCAGUGGCGAAGGCGGCCAACUGGACCAACACUGACGCUGAGG